GAGGAUAUAGCUCAGUGGUAGAGAGCAUGCUUAGCAUCUUAGCAUGUGCAAGGUUCUAGGUUUGGUCCCUAGUACCUCCA
rnacentral:tRNA from 1 species